AGUGAACGCUGGCGGUAGGCCUAACACAUGCAAGUCGAACGGCAGCACAGUAAGAGCUUGCUCUUACGGGUGGCGAGUGGCGGACGGGUGAGGAAUACAUCGGAAUCUACUUUUUCGUGGGGGAUAACGUAGGGAAACUUACGCUAAUACCGCAUACGACCUACGGGUGAAAGCAUGGGAUCUUCGGACCUUGCGCGAUUGAAUGAGCCGAUGUCGGAUUAGCUAGUUGGCGGGGUAAAGGCCCACCAAGGCGACGAUCCGUAGCUGGUCUGAGAGGAUGAUCAGCCACACUGGAACUGAGACACGGUCCAGACUCCUACGAGAGGCAGCAGUGGGGAAUAUUGGACAAUGGGCGCAAGCCUGAUCCAGCCAGACCGCGUGGGUGAAGAAGGCCUUCGGGUUGUAAAGCCCUUUUGUUGGGAAAGAAAAGCAGCAGGUUAAUACCCCGAUGUUCUGACGGUACCAAAAGAAUAAGCACCGGCUAACUUCGUG
rnacentral:rRNA from 1 species